rnacentral:rRNA from 1 species
AUUCAGUUUGAUUCUAGCUCAAUAUUAGCUAUUCCUAACAAAAACACAUGCAAACCCUAAUACCCCCGUGAAAAAUCAUUUUUAGUUAAAAAUUUAAUAUUAAUAAUUUAAAACAUGAUAAAAGAUCAAUUUUAUAAUAAUUACACCUUAAAGCAUUCUCACGCCUGCAGUGACUAAUCCUGUAAAGUCUAGAAAUACAGCUCCGGCUAUAGGAACUUAGAGUUGGUUAAAUCCGUGCCAGCUACCGCGGUUAAACGGUAGACUCAAGCUAAUAAUUUCGGAAACUAUGAUACUUAGAUAAAAACCUCUUCAAAAGAAGUCUAAUUCUAUCAAUUCUUCAAAACCAGAUAUAUCUUUUUAACUUCUCAUGAAAGCCUAAAUAAAAACAAGGAUUAGAUACCCUUUUAUUCUAGGCCCAAAAUUAUCCAGGGCACUACAAACACAGGUUUAAAACCCAAAGAACUUGGCGGUACCUAAAUCCAAUCAGGGGAACCUGUCCUUUAAUUCGACAAUCCACGAAAAUUUUACCUUCUUUUGAAUACUCAGCUUGUAUACUGCCGUCGUCAGCCCACCAUAAAAAUGUAAGUGAGCCAACAGAUUUUUAUCUUCACGUCAGGUCAAAGUGCAGCCUAUAAGAAGGAAGAGAUGGGUUACAAUUUUAAAUCUAAAUAUGAAUUAUUAAUGAAAAUAAAUAUAAAAGUGGACUUGAAAGUAAUUAAAAGUAACCUACUUUUAUGAAUAUGGCAACCUAAGGUGUGCACACAUCGCCCGUCACUCUCGCCGAAAGGGGAGAUAAGUCGUAACAUAGCAGGUGUAAUGGAAAUUGUACCUUCAAAAUA